AAAAAAGAUAAGAAAGCGUAGAAAUUAGGAUGAAAUGUAAUGCUUAUUACUUAUCUUCAUGUGAAGUUUCUCAAAUAUCUAUAUAUACAUUUUUGCAUCUAUUUUGUAAAAUAAAUCUUAGAGUUGGAACUUAUUUACAAUGGUUGUAACUGGCUUUUAAUUAUUGAUUUUCUUUUGGCAAUAAAUUGAUUAACAAACAAAAAAUAUUCCAAAUAUAUUCCAAUCUCAUAUAUCAUGCAGAUUUCUCCAAAAUUUGAACUAGAUUUCGGAAAUUAUUUAAAACAAAAAAUAUUUGACAAACCAAAAUACAAUUGCAAUCCCUUAAAAUGAGCAAAACGCACCUAAAUACAUUUCUUAUCAGUUCACUAAAUCUUAUUUCUCCAAUAUUUGAAUUAGAUUUCGACAACUAUUUAAUACGAGACGGUAUAGCACGGGUGAAAUCCAUUAGAUAUGUUUAGUUUCACUGAACGGGAUUAGAUGGUAGGACGGGUUUGAGUCGAUAGUAAUACGAAACGGUAUACCACGUGUGAAGUUCUAGAUAUAACAAUCAAAAUAUAAUUAUAUUAUCUUAAAUACUAAACAAAACAAUUAUAAAAUAAAAAUAUAAUUAAAU
rnacentral:sRNA from 1 species